rnacentral:rRNA from 1 species
CUUGAACGCUGGCGGCAGUCCUAACACAUGCACGUCGAACGAGUGGCAGACGGGUGAGUAAUGUCUGGGAAACUGCCUGAUGGAGGGGGAUAACUACUGGCAACGGUAGCUAAUAACGCAUACCAUCAGAUGUGCCCCGAUGGGAUUAGCUUGUUGGUGGGGUAACGGUUCACCAAGGCGACGAUCCCUAGAUGGUCGGAGAGGAUGACCACCCACACUGUAACUGAGACACGGGCCAGACUCCUACGGGAGGAAGCAGUGGGUAAUAUUGCACAAUGGGCGCAAGCCUGAUGCAGCCAUGCCGCGGGUAUGAAGAAGGCCUUCGGGUUUUAAAGUACUUGCAGCGGGGAGGCGUUACCCGCAGAAGAAGCACCGGCUAACUCCGGGCCAGCAGCCGCGGUAAGUC